AGAGUUUGAUCAUGGCUCAGAACGUACGCUGGCGGCACGCUUAACACAUGCAAGUCGAACGAAGUAGCAAUACUUAGUGGCGAACGGGUGAGUAUAAUGUGGGUAUCUGCCUUUUGGUGAAGAAUAACACGGGGAAACUUGUGCUAAUACUUCAUAAGCCUUUACAGGGAAAGAUUUAUCGCCAAAAGAUGAGCCCAUACUUGAUUAGCUAGUUGGUAAGGUAAUGGCUUACCAAGGCUACGAUCAAUAGCUGAUCUGAGAGGAUGAUCAGCCACAUUGGGACUGAGACACGGCCCAAACUCCUACGGGAGGCAGCAGUGGGGAAUCUUGCACAAUGGGGGAAACCCUGAUGCAGCGAUGCCGCGUGAGUGAAGAAGGCCUUUGGGUUGUAAAGCUCUUUCGUCGGGGAAGAAAAUGACUGUACCCGAAUAAGAAGGUCCGGCUAACUUCGUGCCAGCAGCCGCGGUAAUACGAAGGGACCUAGCGUAGUUCGGAAUUACUGGGCUUAAAGAGCACGUAGGUGGUUAGAAAAGUUGGUGGUGAAAUCCCAAGGCUUAACCUUGGAACUGCCAUCAAAACUUUUUAACUAGAGUAUGAUAGAGGUAAGUGGAAUUUCUAGUGUAGAGGUGAAAUUCGUAGAUAUUAGAAAGAACACCAAUUGCGAAGGCAACUUUCUGGAUCAUUACUGACACUGAGGUGCGAAAGCAUGGGUAGCGAAGAGGAUUAGAUACCCUCGUAGUCCAUGCUGUAAACGAUGUGUGCUAGACGUUGAAAAUUUAUUUUUCAGUGUCGCAGCAAAAGCGUUAAGCACACCGCCUGGGGAGUACGACCGCAAGGUUAAAACUCAAAUGAAUUGACGGGGACCCGCACAAGCAGUGGAGCAUGUGGUUUAAUUCGAAGAUACGCGCAGAACCUUACCAACUCUUGACAUGUUCGUCGCGAACCUAAGAGAUUAGGUUUUCAUUUAGUUGGACAGAACACAGGUGCUGCAUGGCUGUCGUCAGCUCGUGUCGUGAGAUGUUGGGUUAAGUCCCGCAACGAGCGCAACCCCUACUUUUAGUUGCCACCAUUUAGUUGAGCCCUCUAAAAGAACUGCCAGUGAUAAGCUGGAGGAAGGCGGGGAUGACGUCAAGUCCUCAUGGCCCUUACGUGUUGGGCUACACACGUGCUACAAUGGCAUUCACAAUGGGAAGCAAAAAAGCGAUUUUGAGCAAAUCCCAAAAAGAUGCCUCAGUUCGGAUUGUACUCUGCAACUCGAGUACAUGAAGCUGGAAUUGCUAGUAAUCGCGGAUCAGCGCGCCGCGGUGAAUACGUUCCCGGGUCUUGUACACACCGCCCGUCACACCAUGGAAGUUGGUUACACCUGAAGCCAAAACUUAAAACUUUUGACCACGGUAC
rnacentral:rRNA from 1 species